rfam:Chaetura pelagica isolate M959 contig21868, whole genome shotgun sequence.
UCUGGCAAUGACGACACUCUUGCCCUCACUGAGGUCAGAUUCCCUGAUGAGAGCAGUUUUAUGCGCUCAGUGGAACCGAGCCAGA